GAAAGGUUAGUUAAUUUAUAAUAUAAGGUUGUCAAUCUUGAGUUACUAAAAUUUUAGUACUUUUCU
rnacentral:tRNA from 1 species